rnacentral:rRNA from 1 species
UACGGAGGAUCCAAGCGUUAUCCGGAAUUACUGGGCGUAAAGAGUUGCGUAGGUGGCAUAGUAAGUAGAUAGUGAAAGCGUGUGGCUCAACCAUACAUCCAUUAUCUAAACUGCUAAGCUAGAGUAUGAGAGAGGUUAUUGGAAUUCCCAGUGUAGGAGUGAAAUCCGUAGAUAUUGGGAGGAACACCGAUGGCGUAGGCAGAUAACUGGCUCAUUACUGACACUAAGGCACGAAAGCGUGGGGAGCAAACGGG